GACGAACGCUGGCGGCGUGCUUAACACAUGCAAGUCGAACGAAGAGCGACGGAAGCUUGCUUCUAUCAAUCUUAGUGGCGAACGGGUGAGUAACGCGUAAUCAACCUGCCCUUCAGAGGGGGACAACAGUUGGAAACGACUGCUAAUACCGCAUACGAUCUAAUCUCGGCAUCGAGGAUGGAUGAAAGGUGGCCUCUACAUGUAAGCUAUCACUGAAGGAGGGGAUUGCGUCUGAUUAGCUAGUUGGAGGGGUAACGGCCCACCAAGGCGAUGAUCAGUAGACGGUCUGAGAGGAGGGACGGGCAAAUUGGGACUGAGACACGGCCCAGACUCCUACGGGAGGCAGCAGGGGGGAAUCUUCCGCAAUGGACGAAAGUCUGACGGAGCAACGCCGCGUGAGUGAUGACGGCCUUCGGGUUGUAAAGCUCUGUUAAUCGGGACGAAAGGCCUUCUUGCGAAUAGUGAGAAGGAUUGACGGUACCGGAAUAGAAAGCCACGGCUAACUACGUG
rnacentral:rRNA from 1 species